AUGCAGGUGUUUUGUUGGUGCAAGUUGUUGGCUCAUGUUGAGUUUCAAGCAGUCUGUCUGUAUGUGCAAACCUCUUGCGGCCAGUGGAAUGGGCUGGGAUACUUGACAACAACAAGGUGCGGGCUGAGAAGAAGAAGGGCCGCGGAGCCACCAGAUAGGCCCAGGCCCGUUAGAGCCCAUGGAGUGGGCGCUCUGAAAACCCUAAACCCUCCCCCUUUUUAUCUCCCCCCACCCAGCCGCCGUUUCCCAUCCUCCUCCUUCGCUCUUCUUCUUCUCCUCCUCCUCGUCAAUCAAGUAAAGAAAGCAGCAAGUAGAAAUCCAUGGCGGCGGCCAAGAACCCCAAGGUCUUCUUCGACAUCCUCAUCGGCCAGGCCAAGGCGGGGCGGGUGGUCAUGGAGCUCUACGCCGACAAGGUGCCCAGGACGGCGGCCAACUUCCGGCAGCUCUGCACGGGCGAGAAGGGCCUGGGCGCCAGCGGCAAGCCGCUCCACUACAAGGGCUCGGCCUUCCACCGCAUCAUCCCGGGCUUCAUGUGCCAGGGCGGCGACUUCACCCGCGGCAACGGCACCGGCGGCGAGUCGGUCUACGGCGCCAAGUUCGCCGACGAGAACUUCCUCCUCCGCCACACGGGCCCCGGCGUGCUCUCCAUGGCCAACGCAGGGCCCGGCACCAACGGCUCCCAGUUCUUCAUCUGCACCGCCAAGACGCCCUGGCUCGACGGCAAGCACGUCGUGUUCGGGCAGGUCGUGGACGGGUACGGCGUCGUGGAGAAGAUGGAGGCCGUCGGGUCGUCCGGCGGCUCCACCGCCCAGCCCGUCGUCAUCGAGGACUGCGGCCAGCUCCCCGACGACCACUGCUGAUCUCAUGAUUCAUUCAGCCUUGUUUUUUUUUUUACUUGCUACGUACUACUGA
rnacentral:rRNA from 1 species